CCAAUAGCGUAUAUUAAAGUUGUUGCAGUUAAAAAGCUCGUAGUUGAAUUUCGGGGUCAGUAGAUUGGUCGUGCCACUGGUAUGCACUGGUCUUACUGGCUCCUCCUUCCUGAUGAACCGUAAUGCCAUUAAUUUGGUGUUGCGGGGAGACUGGACUGUUACUUUGAAAAAAUUAGAGUGUUUAAAGCAGGCUAACGCUUGAAUACAUUAGCAUGGAAUAAUGAAAUAGGACGUUCGAUCUUAUUUUGUUGGUUUCUAAGAUUGACGUAAUGAUUAAUAGGGAUAGUUGGGGGCAUUAGUAUUCAAUUGUCAGAGUUGAAAUUCUUGGAUUUAUUGAAGACUAACUACUGCGAAAGCAUUUGCCAAGGAUGUUUUCAUUAAUCAGGAACGAAAGUUAGGGGAUCGAAGACGAUCAGAUACCGUCGUAGUCUUAACCAUAAACUAUGCCGACUAGGGAUCGGGUGAUGUUAAUUUUAUAAUGACUCAUUCGGCGCCUUACG
rnacentral:rRNA from 1 species